UCAAUUAUCUAGAGGAGAGAAAACCCAAAGCAGUCUUUGCCUCUAUCGUUCUUCUCGGAGCAGGCGCCCCCCUACUGGCACAAAGUGGCCUAUGAGCAAGACGCUGCGCAA